CCAUGAUGGUUGGCAAGAACAGGUGCCUUACAAAGGCAGCAAAAAGGAAGCCAAGAAGAAAGGUUGAUCCAUUUUCUAAGAAAGAUUGGCAUGAUGUGAAAGCCCCUGCUGUGUUCAAUAUAAGAAAUAUUGGAAAGACCCUAGUCACCAGGACCCAAGGAACCAAAACUGCAUCUGAUGGCCUCAAGGGUCACAUGUUUGAAGUGAGUCCUGCUGAUUUGCAGAAUAGUGAAGUUGCAUUUAGAAAAUUUAAGCUGAUUUUUGAAGAUAUUUGGGCAAAAACUGCAUAACUUCCAUGCCAUGGAUCUUACCCAUGACAAAAUGUGCUUCAUGGUCAAAAAAAUGGCAGACAAUGAUUGAAGGUCAUGUCCAUGUCAAGACCCAAUGGUUACUUGCUUUGUCUGUUCUGCAUUGAUUUUACUAAAAAAAAAAACAAUACCACAACAAUCAGAUAUAGAAGACCUGUUAUGCUCAGCAUUAACAGGUCUACCAAAUCCGGAAGAAGAUUUGGAAAUCAUGACCUGAUAAGUGCAGAGAAAUGACUUGAAAGAAGUGGUCAAUAAAUUGAUUCCAGACAGCAUUGAAAAGACACAGAAAAGGCUUGCCAAUCUAUUUAUCCUCUCCAUGAUGUCUUCGUUAGAAGACUAAAAAUGCUGAAGAAGCCCAAGUUUGAAUUGGGAAAACUCAUGGAGCUUCAUGGUGAAUGCAGUAGUUCUGGAAAAGCCACUGGGGACGAGACAGGUGCUAAAGUUGAACCAGCUGAUGGAUAUGAACCACCAGUUCCAAGAAUC
rnacentral:lncRNA from 1 species